rnacentral:rRNA from 1 species
GCAACUGUUGGGAAGGGNNAUCGGUGCGGGCNNNNNNNUAUUANGCCAGCUGGCGAAAGGGGGAUGUGCUGCAAGGNNGAUUAAGUUGGGUAACGCCAGGGUUUUCCCAGUCANGACGUUGUAAAACGACGGCCAGUGAAUUGUAAUACGACUCACUAUAGGGCGAAUUGGGCCCGACGUCGCAUGCUCCCGGCCGCCAUGGCGGCCGCGGGAAUUCGAUUAGAGUUUGAUCCUGGCUCAGAUUGAACGCUGGCGGCAGGCCUAACACAUGCAAGUCGAACGGUAACAGAAAGCAGCUUGCUGCUUUGCUGACGAGUGGCGGACGGGUGAGUAAUGUCUGGGAAACUGCCUGAUGGAGGGGGAUAACUACUGGAAACGGUAGCUAAUACCGCAUAACGUCGCAAGACCAAAGAGGGGGACCUUAGGGCCUCUUGCCAUCGGAUGUGCCCAGAUGGGAUUAGCUAGUAGGUGGGGUAACGGCUCACCUAGGCGACGAUCCCUAGCUGGUCUGAGAGGAUGACCAGCCACACUGGAACUGAGACACGGUCCAGACUCCUACGGGAGGCAGCAGUGGGGAAUAUUGCACAAUGGGCGCAAGCCUGAUGCAGCCAUGCCGCGUGUAUGAAGAAGGCCUUCGGGUUGUAAAGUACUUUCAGCGGGGAGGAAGGGAGUAAAGUUAAUACCUUUGCUCAUUGACGUUACCCGCAGAAGAAGCACCGGCUAACUCCGUGCCAGCAGCCGCGGUAAUACGGAGGGUGCAAGCGUUAAUCGGAAUUACUGGGCGUAAAGCGCACGCAGGCGGUUUGUUAAGUCAGAUGUGAAAUCCCCGGGCUCAACCUGGGAACUGCAUCUGAUACUGGCAAGCUAAUCACUAGUGAAUUCGCGGCCGCCUGCAGGUCGACCAUAUGGGAGAGCUCCNNA